UGACCUCUCCUUUUGCUUAGUGGUUAGAGCGUCCGCCUCGAAUGCAGGAGGUCGUGGGUUUGAAUCCCGGCCGAGUCAU